GAGGGACAGGGAGAGGGAGAGGGACAGGGACAGGGACAGGGACAGGGACAGGGACAGGGACAGGGACAGGGAGAGGAACAUAGUGAGAAAUAGCAGGGUUAUAAGGAAGAUGAGUAGCUGGGGGGAGUAGCCUAUGAGCUGGAGGGCAUUCAGGGUAGGGGAGAAGGCGGGCUGCUGGCAUGGACUUUGAAAGGUGAGGGGAAUUACUCCUUUGGGCAGAUGGGAAUCAGUUUUUCAAGCUCCCGAUGAAUGCUGGCUUUUAUCUAAGUGCCAGUCCAUGCUGAACUCCUUUCUGAAUAUUUGGACUGCCUUUUUGGAGUUUGGGAAAUUGGUGUUUACUUUGGAUUUGACACUUAGUAGACCAAGGCAGGUGGAUCUCUGUGAGUUCUAGGUCAGCCUGUUCUACACACUUAAGUCCAGGUUAGCCAAAACUGCAUAGUGAGACUGUUUCACAAAGUUAAAAAAAGGAAGAAAUGUCUGGACAGGGAUUUGGGUACUCUGGAAAGUAACCAAAGGCUUGCAACAAUAAAUGGGAAGUUAUUUUGUCAAAAAAUUAGGGAAGGUGGCAAGCCUUUAACUACCUCAGAUCUAAACUUUUCCUCCACUGAUAGUGAAACUAGAGACUGUAAGCCAAGGCCUGGGACAGCAUGAGGCUGGAGACUUCUUAGAGCAUCAUUUCCAGAAAGUCAUCUUUAUGUCCACUCUCUGGUAGCUCCCUAGAAGACGCGACUUGGGAAGCUGACCUUAGAUGACUUGAUUCUAAGCCUGUCCCCAGAGAUUUUUGUUGGAAACAACUACAGGAGCACCACAGGAGAUCUGGGAAGACGGGAUUAAAAGUCCAUAAAAGGAAUAGAUCAGUUGAUAUUAUCCAGUCUCGGAAAGAAAACAGGAUAAUGGAAACUAAACAAACACUAGAGACUUGCAGGGAGCCCUCAAACACAAACAAUUGCGUAACUGAAGUCCCAAGGGGGAGAAGAGGAGAUGCAAGAGUGUCUGUGUAGAAACCAUAACUCUUGUCCUAAGGGACUAGCAAACAGUUUAUUCUGGAGCCAUUUUGAAUGACCAUGGCCCCAGAAACACAGAUUUAGGUUACCCCCAAUUCUGUGUUCCAGUGUGGGAGUAGUAGUUCCGCAGGGUUUUUAUACGUUUUAUAGAACAAAAAUUGCCAUGAAUCAAGGCAACUUUAAAAGACAUUGAUGGGUGCACCAGAGAGGUAGGUACAAGAUGGGACAACUGCAUCAUACACAGACCCAAGAUGGCAUCUGAUGGCACUGUCUGGUUCUCUGUGGAAGCCAGUGUCCUGCUAAGUUAAAGCUUCUAGGAGAUUUUCAUUAAUUAUCGCAAGAUGUUAGUUCUAAGUUACUAGCUUCUGAGAGGUUUUUAUUUAUUAUCCUAGAGUAUUAGUUCAGAAACAGAGUGUGGCAGGGCAUGGCUGUUCCAGAAGGCUAACACUAGUCCAAGAUAAAGCAAUUAGCCUCUGAGCCUACCAAAUCCCCACGUCUUCACAGCACUGACAUUCCAGUUGGCCCAUCAGUCUCUGCAGACACAGGCUACUUCCAGGAGUUUUCUUGUACAGAGCCAGCCAUGGUUUCUUUUCAGGAAUUUUCAUUCACAAGAGAAAAAUUAUGUGAAAAAAGUAACAGCUGAAACUUUCCAAGACAGAUGACAAAAGGUAAUGUACACACCCAAGAAGCUCAAUGAUUCUGUAUGGAACAUGCAAGACCAUCACGGUCAUAGCUAAGCAUUCACAGGCCAAAGAGUCCUGGAUCGGCAAGAGAAAACCAAUCCAUCAGAGGCAAGCGUCAUCCCGUUAGAUUUAAUACUUCACCCUCACCAGAAACCAUGUAAGACAGUAGGGGUGGGAACCUGAAACAAAGGAACAACAUCAACAAUAAAAAAGCCAAUAGCUCUAGAAAGGGCCGCAUUCCACAGUAACCCCAACCAGAACUUCUGGUUAGGGAAGCUACCCCAAGAGAAAGACUAAAGAGAAUUGUUCAGACUGAAAUGAAGGGACAGUCAGCCAAAGCCACAUGAACAAAGAGAUAGCAGCAAAAGAGGCAAGACAGGAGGCCCUGGGGGAGGAGAAAAGAGUAGGCGGGAAGCUGACUCCAACGCAGUAAGAGUUCUGCUGGAGAGUCUGGCUGGUGUAACUGCGUUGAAACAGUCUAUUGAAGAUAUGAACUUCCAGGAGAGGCUCAAACAUGAAUCGCAGUUGCUUUCCGUAUGAGCAGCUGCCCGUUCCCCACCAUCAGUCAAGUGUAUGUGUACUCCUGGUGUAGUUUGCACACAACCUGCAAGAGCUAAGUGGCCACAAGGACUCUGUCUUCCAGGUAUCUGUAAGCUGUACUCAGAUAACUAGCCGAGGUGGUGAUCACAGAUGUUCAUAGAGAUAGAUGACUGCUCACGUUCUGCUAUGAUUGUUGUGAGCCCGUUAGGAUUUGAGUGUAAAAUUCCUUCUGGAGGCUCUGUGUUGGAACAGUUGGGUGCUGUGUAAGAGGUUGUGGAACAUUUAGGGUAUGGGGUCCUACCCUGAGGUGGGUUGCAAAGGGCAGGCCUUGAAGGUUAUGCUCUGGGGCUCUCCUGUCCAUUGGAUGAGGUGCCUCCACUGCCCCCUCCAACUCUAAUGAAGCAUUCCUGCCAUGCCUUCCCUACCGUGAUCAACUGCUCUGCCCUGAAAGCAGGAGCCAAAAUAAACUUGCCUUGUCUGUGUCAGGCAGUUUAGUUACAGCAGCAUGAAUUAGCUAACCUACCCUGCCGUCCAGCUGCUAACUUCCAGAAGCUUUAAAGGAUUGCGGCCUUCCUCUCCCCAUCCUCAUUCAUCAUUCCUUUUCCUUUGGGAAGCUCAGACAUGAACUAUUAAGUUAUUCGCCAGGAACCACAUCUGUGAGGACAGUUUAAAAAGUGACACUAUCAGUGUCACAGUUGUGAGGGGAAUGGUAUUCCUGGUGCUCAGGAGCCAAGGAAUACCACACAGUCACACUGCACAACAAACUUCACACAAGAGAUUUAUUGGGUAGAACGCAGGAGGGCGGCCGCCUUCGAGAAGCAGCAGAGAACUGGUCAGGCUUUAUAUAGGCUUCUUGGGGGGUGGAGUUUUCCAGGGUAGAGAUUUCCAGGGUGGGGAUUGGUGGGAUUUCAAGUCCUGGAAGUGAGCUCUGACUUUUUACCCUACAGAUACCAUGAAGACUGGGAAAGGUGCAGGCUCUGAAAAGGCCUGAGCAGACGAGUUUGCGUGUCCAGCUGGUCCUUGGCCCAGAAACAACAAAUGAGAGCGAGCAGAUCAAUGACAAAAAUGGCCGACCUUGGGGAGAAGCUGGCCAUCAGACUCCUGGCAGUAUCAGACUCAAGUUUCCAAUCUUAACAGCAACAACAGCAGCAACAGCAGCAGCAGCAGCAGCACAAUGCCUACCAAAACCAGGAAAGCGGUGUACACUUCAGGGGGAAAGUAAAUAGAAACUGUCAAUCAAAAGACCUGCAGAUGAACUUGUCAUACCAACACUCUACAAUGACUGCCCUAAGAUGUCCAGAGAACUAAAAUGAGAUGAAGAGAAAGCCAGCAGCAUGAUGGGAGAAGGAAAUGGAAGGGCCGGACCGAGCAGCACAAUACACAUCUAUUCACAAAGUAUAUGUAAGAACACAAUACAGAUGAAAACAUAUUAGCCUUAACCUAGGGGUGGGCAGUUAACCCCUCAGAGUGUAUGAUGCAAGCUACUCGGCUGGUGGAGGCUGGGCGCCCACCCUGGGGUCUUUGCAGAACCCAUAUGUAGACAAUAGAAAGCUAUGAUCCCCAAUUCUGCCCCAGUGCCUAUCAGGACUGGGUUUUCAACUGCAGCAUCAGGCACGGCAGGCUGACCCAGGGUCAUUUGACCCGAGCCACGCUACGCAACUCAAGCAGCCUUUCCAAGACCCUCAGUAACUGCAGUCCUCGAGGAUGGGGAGCCUUGGAUGGCUCAUGUAAAAUGUCUAUGGAUUAUGUAAAGUGUCUGUGGAUUACAGAGGGUGGAGAAUGUCCCCCACCUGUGCCUCCAUACCCAACAUUGCUCUUUUGACAACAAGAACUAAUAGAAGUGA